rnacentral:rRNA from 1 species
CUACGGGCCGCUGCAGUAAGGAAUUUUGCGCAAUGGGGGAAACCCUGACGCAGCAACGCCGCGUGAGUGAAGAAGGCUUUCGGGUCGUAAAGCUCUGUCAGAUAGGAAAAAAGUUCAUAUGUAAAUAGCUUAUGAAUCUGAUGGUACUAUCAGAGGAAGCACCGGCUAACUCCGUGCCAGCAGCCGCGGUAAUACGGAGGGUGCAAGCGUUGUUCGGAAUUACUGGGCGUAAAGGGCGUGUAGGCGGUAUGGUAAGUCAGAUGUGAAAGCCCUGGGCUUAACUCAGGAAGUGCAUUUGAUACUGCCAUCCUUGAGUAUGGGAGAGGAGAGUAGAAUUCCCAGUGUAGAGGUGAAAUUCGUAGAUAUUGGGAGGAAUACCCGUGGCGAAGGCGACUCUCUGGACCAAUACUGACGCUGAGACGCGAAAGCGUGGGGAGCAAACAGGAUUAGAUACCCUGCGUAGUC